rnacentral:lncRNA from 1 species
ACUUACUCUCCUGCCGCCCUGUGAAGAAGGUGCCUGCUUUCUCUUCUGCCAUAACUGACUCUGUAUCUUGCUGCACCUUCUUAGCUUGGAUUCUUUGAUGAAACACCACCAUAUUGGAGCAUUCCACCUGCCAAAGAACUGAAGGCAAGCUUCAGCCAACAGCCAGCAAGGAACUAAAAUCUUCAGCCCAAAGCCACAGGGAACUGAGUCCUGCCAACCGCCACAUCAGUGAGCAUAGAUGGGAUCCUCCACAGUUGAACUUUCAGAUGAGACCAGAGCCACACCUGACAAUUUGAUUGCAGCCUUGCAGGCAACCCUGAAGCAGAGGACCCAGUUCAAUCAUGCUGGGAUUCCUGACCCACAGAAUCCAUGAGAAAAUAAAUGUGUGUGUUUAAGCCUCUACAUUUUGAGGCAAUUUGUUAUACAGCAAGAGAUAAUGAAUACUUUUGUUACUUUUCAUUUUAGGCAAAUUAUUUCUACUUUGCAAGUUUGUGAAAUAAGUCUAGUAAAUCCUUCUGUAGUCAUGAAAUAAUACAGAAGUAAGAAAAAAAAUCCCAUUUUCUUGAAUGAGAAACCAAGAUGCUGACAUAACAUUG